GAUGAACGCUGGCGGCGUGCCUAAUACAUGCAAGUCGAACGCUUCACUUCGGUGAAGAGUGGCGAACGGGUGAGUAAUACAUAAGUAACCUGGCAUCUACAGGGGGAUAACUGAUGGAAACGUCAGCUAAGACCGCAUAGGUGUAGAGAUCGCAUGAACUCUAUAUGAAAAGUGCUACGGGACUGGUAGAUGAUGGACUUAUGGCGCAUUAGCUUGUUGGUAGGGUAACGGCCUACCAAGGCGACGAUGCGUAGCCGACCUGAGAGGGUGACCGGCCACACUGGGACUGAGACACGGCCCAGACUCCUACGGGAGGCAGCAGUAGGGAAUUUUCGGCAAUGGGGGAAACCCUGACCGAGCAACGCCGCGUGAAGGAAGAAGUAAUUCGUUAUGUAAACUUCUGUCAUAGAGGAAGAACGGUGGAUAUAGGGAAUGAUAUCCAAGUGACGGUACUCUACAAGAAAG
rnacentral:rRNA from 1 species